AGCCGCGGUAAUUCCAGCUCCAUUGGCGUAUAUUAAAGUUGUUGCGGUUAAAAAGCUCGUAGUUGGAUCUGUGUAUCGGACGGUCGGUUCGCCGCUCGCGGCGUUUAACUGACCGGUCCGGACGUCCUGCCGGUGGGGCGCCGGUUCGCGCCGGCGUCCCGUAACUCCCUCCGCGCUGCUCUUAACCGAGUGGUUCGGUGGGCCGGCACGUUUACUUUGAACAAAUUUGAGUGCUCAAAGCAGGCCUUAUGUCGCCUGAAAACUGUGUGCAUGGAAUAAUGGAAUAGGGCCUUGGUUCUAUUUUGUUGGCUUUUCUGAACUCGAGGUAAUGAUUAAUAGGGACAGACGGGGGCAUUCGUAUUGCGACGUUAGAGGUGAAAUUCUUGGAUCGUCGCAAGACGGACCGAUGCGAAAGCGUUUGCCAAGAAUGUUUUCGCUAAUCAAGAACGAAAGUUAGAGGUUCGAAGGCGAUCAGAUACCGCCCUAGUUCUAACCAUAAACGAUGCCAGCCAGCGAUACGCCGAAGUUCCUCCGAUGACUCGGCGUGCAGCUUCCGGGAAACCAAAGCUUUUGGGUUCCGGGGGAA
rnacentral:rRNA from 1 species